rnacentral:misc_RNA from 1 species
GAUGAAGAACGUAGCGAAAUGCGAUAAGUAGUGUGAAUUGCAGAAUUCAGGGAAUCAUCGAAUCUUUGAACGCACAUUGCGCCCUUUGGUAUUCCUUAGGGCAUGCCUGUUCGAGCGUCAUUUGAAACCUCAAGCUCAGCUUGGUGUUGGGUGUCUGUCCCCGCCUCACCGCGGGGACUCGCCUCAAAAUCAUUGGCGGCCGGUACGUUGGCUUCGAGCGCAGCAGAAACGCGAACUCGAGGCCCGGCGGAUCGGCGACCAGAAGUCACUUCUUCACAGUUUGACCUCGGAUCAGGUAGGGAUACCCGCUGAACUUAAGCAUAUCAAUAAGCGGAGGA